rnacentral:rRNA from 1 species
GAUGAACGCUGGCGGCGUGCCUAAUACAUGCAAGUCGAGCGAACAGACGAGGAGCUUGCUCCUCUGACGUUAGCGGCGGACGGGUGAGUAACACGUGGAUAACCUACCUAUAAGACGGGGAUAACUUCGGGAAACCGGAGCUAAUACCGGAUAACAUGUUGAACCGCAUGGUUCAACAGUGAAAGACGGUCUUGCUGUCACUUAUAGAUGGAUCCGCGCCGCAUUAGCUAGUUGGUAAGGUAACGGCUUACCAAGGCAACGAUGCGUAGCCGACCUGAGAGGGUGAUCGGCCACACUGGAACUGAGACACGGUCCAGACUCCUACGGGAGGCAGCAGUAGGGAAUCUUCCGCAAUGGGCGAAAGCCUGACGGAGCAACGCCGCGUGAGUGAAGAAGGUCUUCGGAUCGUAAAACUCUGUUAUUAGGGAAGAACAAAUGUGUAAGUAACUAUGCACGUCUUGACGGUACCUAAUCAGAAAGCCACGGCUAACUACGUG